GACGACGUCAACUUCCCAAGGCUUUUCAGCGUCAAGAAAGAGGAGUUUGAAGGGAUUACGGACACUGAAGACUUUAAGCAGAAAGUUCAAGUCUGGGUGGCCAAAAGUUACAUUUCAGUGAUCUAGUUACCGCCUCUCUCUGCAAACCCAAAGGAUCACUUUCCUCAGCGGAUCUGCCCCAAUCAUCAUUAACGGGACCACAGUGGAGAGAGUGAGCAGCUUCAAAUACCUUCAAAUGCCCUGCAAAGAGUAGCUGAGCACAUGUCCAGAACAUCUCUCCCCUCUCUGCAAGACAUCCAAACCAGGAGAUGUAAAUCUAGGGCUGUUAAGAUCCUUAAAGACCCCACCAACCCAUCUGCUACAGUCAGGCAGACGCUUCUGCAGUCUGAUGGCAAAGACGGAGAGGCUCAGGAGGAGUUUCUUCCCUCAUGUUAUCAGACUACUAAACAUGGACAUUAAACACACUGCACUUUAUAGACUGGUUGUUCAGGGCUACCCAAUAACUCUCUGCACACUGCGCUUUUUUGACAACCUAACUAGGUAUUUCAUCCUCACUGCACAUUGUGUACAUCUCUGCACAUUAUCUGUGUAGCAGUUUCUGUGUAGCACCUCUACAAAUCAUCUGUGUAGUAAUACAGUAUAUUGUGAAUAUUUCAUUAUUUGUAUUUAAUUAUCUCCAAAAAAAAAAAAAAACGUAUUUUUUUUCCUGUUGUUUCAUUAUUUGUAUUUAAUUUUCUCUUAUUUAUUUUUUUUGCACGGUCUAAAAAGAGUAUGCCAGACCUACAUUUCACUGCUUUUUGCAUGUCAUAUAACAAAUAAAACUUGAAUUUUUAAUGGU